UUGAUUUCCAACGACCCAUCC
rnacentral:misc_RNA from 1 species